rnacentral:rRNA from 1 species
UACGUAGGGGGCUAGCGUUGCUCGGAAUCACUGGGCGUAAAGGGUGCGUAGGCGGGUCUUUAAGUCAGGUGUGAAAUCCUGGAGCUCAACUCCAGAACUGCCUUUGAUACUGAAGAUCUUGAGUCCGGGAGAGGUGAGUGGAACUGCGAGUGUAGAGGUGAAAUUCGUAGAUAUUCGCAAGAACACCAGUGGCGAAGGCGGCUCACUGGCCCGGUACUGACGCUGAGGCACGAAAGCGUGGGGAGCAAACAGG